GAAGGUAUAGCUCAGUGGCAGAGCGUGUGCUUAGCAUGCAUGAGGUCCUGGGUUCAAUUCCCAGUACCUCUG
rnacentral:tRNA from 1 species